AGUAAUGUCAGCUAAUUAAAGCUAUUGGGCCCAUACCCCAACAAUGAUGGUUAAAACCCCUCCCUUACUA
rnacentral:tRNA from 2 species